AUUGAACGCUGGCGGCAUGCCUUACACAUGCAAGUCGAACGGUAGAGGGGCAACCCUCGAGAGUGGCGAACGGGUGAGUAAUGCAUCGGAACGUACCCAGUUGUGGGGGAUAGCUCGGCGAAAGCCGGAUUAAUACCGCAUACGCACUGAGGUGGAAAGCGGGGGACUCGCAAGGGCCUCGCGCAGUUGGAGCGGCCGAUGUCAGAUUAGCUAGUUGGUGGGGUAAAGGCCUACCAAGGCGACGAUCUGUAGCUGGUCUGAGAGGAUGACCAGCCACACUGGGACUGAGACACGGCCCAGACUCCUACGGGAGGCAGCAGUGGGGAAUCUUAGACAAUGGGCGCAAGCCUGAUCUAGCCAUGCCGCGUGAGCGAUGAAGGCCUUAGGGUUGUAAAGCUCUUUCAGGGGGGAAGAUAAUGACUGUACCCCCAGAAGAAGCCCCGGCUAACUCCGUG
rnacentral:rRNA from 1 species